AUUGAACGCUGGCGGAAUGCUUUACACAUGCAAGUCGAGCGGCAGCGCGGGGCAACCUGGCGGCGAGCGGCGAACGGGUGAGUAAUGCAUCGGAACGUACCCAGUCGUGGGGGAUAACUGUCCGAAAGGACAGCUAAUACCGCAUACGUCCUGAGGGAGAAAGCGGGGGAUCGCAAGACCUCGCGCGAUUGGAGCGGCCGAUGCCGGAUUAGCUAGUUGGUAGGGUAAAGGCCUACCAAGGCGACGAUCCGUAGCUGGUCUGAGAGGACGACCAGCCACACUGGAACUGAGACACGGUCCAGACUCCUACGGGAGGCAGCAGUGGGGAAUUUUGGACAAUGGGGGCAACCCUGAUCCAGCCAUUCCGCGUGAGUGAAGAAGGCCUCGGUUGUAAGUACGUCUUUCGGUCCGGGAACGGAAAGUACGCACAGGUUAAUACCCUACGUGUGGAGUGACGGUACCGGAAGUAAGAAGACACCGG
rnacentral:rRNA from 1 species